rnacentral:rRNA from 1 species
AGGGCACCACCAGGAGUGGAGCCUGCGGCUUAAUUUGACUCAACACGGGAAAACUUACCCGGCCCGGACACUGGCAGGAUUGACAGAUUGAGAGCUCUUUCUUGAUUCAGUGGGUGGUGGUGCAUGGCCGUUCUUAGCUGGUGGAGCGAUUUGUCUGGUUAAUUCCGAUAACGAACGAGACUCUAGCCUACUAAAUAGGCCACCGGCUUACUGACGUCGGUGGGACUUCUUAGAGGGACAGGCGGCGAUUCAGCCGCACGAAACAGAGCAAUAACAGGUCUGUGAUGCCCUUAGAUGUCCGGGGCCGCACGCGCGCUACACUGAAGUGAUCAGCGUGCAUUACAAACCUGCUCCGUCAGGAGUGGGGAACCCAAUGAACCUUCUUCGUGAUUGGGAUAGGGGAUUGUAAUUAUUCCCCUUGAACGAGGAAUUCCCAGUAAGCGCGAGUCAUAAGCUCGCGUUGAUUACGUCCCCGCCCUUUGUACACACCGCCCGUCGCUACUACCGAUUGAAUGAUUU